UUUAUUAACCAUGGAAUGUUUUUUUUUCUUCACACAGAUCCAAAAAUAAUUUCAUAUUACUAUAUAAAAUAGGAAACUUGAAUUUAAAUCACGCAUCGACCGUGAAGUCGCACCUGGGGCCACACCAGACCCGGCUAUCCGCGCACGACUCCAUCUGUCACUCUGAGCCUGUGUCUUCUUCCUCCCAUGGCCGUUACUCUUCGAAAAGAAGCCCACCGCUCCCCCACGCCGUUCCAUGACUCCCCUCCCCUCCGCCCGCCACUUGUGAUGCCCUACCGCGACGCCUGCCCCCCCGUGUCACGCCAUUCCCACACCACCGCCCUUUAAACGUUCCCUUCCCCACCCUCCCCCCCCUCGCUUCCAUCGCCGCCGCCAUGGACGCCUUCACCCCCGACUGGUCGGAGCUCCCGAAGGAGCUCCUUUCCCAGAUCGCCUCCCGCCUCCCCCUCCUCUCCGACUACCUCCGCUUCACCAUCGUCUGCAAGCCCUGGGCCGCCGCCCGCCGCGCCGCCCGGCCCCCCCUCGAGCGCCCCUGGAUGCUCCCCUUCAACCAGCCCCACCACGCCUUGGACGGCCACCUCGUCUUCCUCCCCCUCGCCAACCGCCGCCCCCUCCGUCUCUACGUCCCCGAGCUCUUCCACCGCUGGAUCUGCGGCGCCUCCCGCGGCUGGUUCAUCACCGUCGACCGCCAGCUCCACAUGCACCUCGUCCACCCUUUCGCCCACACCCAGAUCCCCCUUCCUGUCCCGCCUUCCCUCGGAAUGGAAAGGCUUUACGCUGCCCAGUGCCUCCGCGGCCGCUCCCUCUUGAAGGCCGUCCUCUCUGCCGACCCCGUCGUUGAUCCCACUGGCUGCAUCAUCAUGGCGAUAAAUGGUGCGACCGGCAAGCUCACGUUUUGCCGCCCUGGCGAUGCCAGAUGGACCGUCAUCAAUGAUCCUUAUGGCAUCUACUCCGAUCUCAUCCACUACAACGGCCGCUUUUACGCUGCCCCCGCCGAUCCCGCCGUCGUGGUCUGCGACCUCGCGAGCCCAGUCCCGAGAACUAGUAUCUGUGUUUCCACCGGUGGGCGCAGUGGCUACCCGAAUUAUCUAGUGGAAGUCGAUGGAGACCUUCUAUUUGUCGCUCGGCUCCGGUGCAUUGCUUUGAUAGAGUAUGGGGAACAGAUCUGCAGGACGUUCAAAAUUGAAGUUUUUAAGCUGGAUAAUGAGACGGGAACGUGGGUAGAGACCAAGGAUUUGGGGAAGAUGGCGUUGCUUUUGACCCCCGAUCAGGCUGUGCCGAUCUUGGAGGAGGAAUUUCCUGGAUGCAAGAAAAAUUUCAUCUAUUUUACAGACCUUCACUACAAUAAUCAUGCGAUGUGCAAGUUUGAGGAAGCGGGGAUGUUUGAUUUGGAAAAUGGCAUGCUCCAUCCUUUCACUCAGAAAGAACUAUUUAGCCCUCUGUAUGAGCCAUCCAUCUUUAUGACUCCUGUUUUAUACCCUGGAGGAGAAGCUAGGUCUCCAGAAACUGUUGCUGGACCAUCUCAAACACAGGAUGCUUCUGCAUAGAGCAAGUGGAUGUGCGCGUCUUGAAGUCCAUUUCGUGGAUGAUAGAAAGUAUUUGUAGAAGGACCAGCAAUGUAGUUACUGGGUUCAGGUGUCUUCCUAUCGCAUGUAGCACUGAUACUGAUAAUUCAAAUUCCUAACCAAGGGACCAAGGAAAAAGAUCUGGCUGGGGGUUUCGCAGACACCAUUCUCAUUGGCAUGUUCUGUGAAUCUGUGUUUUACUUGAGUGCCCAAUAAUACAGGUAGAAAAAAAAAUCCACUUAUUAGAUUCCCCAGUUCACCAACUCCAGAGCUGUCAGGAAGUCAAUAUUUUUAAUUAUUAACUAUUAUUAAAUAAAGUAUUUGUUUGAAGACUCUUUCUUGGUUGUGAACAUAGAAAUAUAUUUUGCUUGUAUGAUGAACAGGGGCUUUUUUUUCUGCUUUCUUCUUAGGCAUGGUCACUAGAGACAUGAUUGCAAUAAAUGUGUAUGCAGUUUGAGAUGGGAUAUACUCGGAAGCUCUCCAAGUAUGUGAUGAUCAUAAGAAAGUUACAUCUUGGUCUGUACCUUUGAACUCUUUGUGCACUAGAACCAUAUCAUCAUGGACGUUUGCUACAUGCUUAAAUUACAUUGGAGUAAUUGUAAAUAGAUUUAAAAUCUAGGUUGUUUCAAGAAAUGGUGUUGAACCUCUAAAGAACAGAUAGAUACUCGCUGCGCUCUUCAAGAUGCAUUUACUCAUACCUAUCCCACUUUCUCUGUUUCCUACCCUUCCUAGAAUGAUGCUUGAAAUAGAAAGAGAAAUCUACUUUAGAAGGGCUGUACUUAUCAAUCUUCAUAUUCUUUCUUUUAAUGCAAAAAGAUUCAUUGCUGCACUAAUAGAGGUUUCACCAUAACAUUAUUCAGAGCUCUGCAAGUUAUGAUAUAUUGCAAUAGAUUAUAAAUAGACAUCUAUGUUUUUUUUUAAAAAAUCUUGUUACAUUCUUUGGAAUGGGCUAUUACUUAGAAGCUAUCCCCCGUCCCCUCUCUUUUUUUUUUCCCUAUCUUUCACGUGCAUGCAAUGGAAGCUGCCAUCUCUUAGAAACAUGAAACCAGUGAUAUUCAACUAGCCAGGAUCCAGUAAUGCAGGAUCCAUGUUACAGUCUACCAGAGUUGAUCACCAGAAAAAAAAAAAAAAAAAAAGAGGUGGGGAAGAAGGAAAAAAAUCUAGUUGAACAUAAAAUAUGAAGAACAAGGCUCCAUGAUAGUUACAAGAGCACGAAUGCACCAUGAAACGAGGUCUGCCAGAGUCAAUCAUGAUGAAAUGUCUAAAAUUCUCUCCAUAAAGUUAAGCUUCCAGUUAGAAGUUCAAUUUCAUUUGUAUAACUAUCUACCACCUGGUUUUUUAUGUAUUUGUUUGAUAUAUGUAUUUAUUUGUUUAUUUUUGAUGAAGGAAAGGAGGCCUUAGUAUCACUCUAAUACAAAUGGCUUUCAUCUUCCACAGCAAUGUUGGGAAGAGGUCGAGGGAAGUUUGAGGACCAGACCACAGUUAUUCGGUUAAAAGCUCCAUAUUUUGUCACCCAACUGGCAUGUUGAUUGGCUUCCUGCCGGUAUGUGAGGCCAUGAACAAGGCAAGCCACUCUAUUCUAUUAUUUUUCAUUUCUGUUUUCCUUGUUGAACUGUGAAGUGCCAGAUCGCUCCAUGCCUGAUUAAUCAGUUAUGAAAAAAUAGGGUCUUCGGAUGCUUCUGGAACCAUAGCCUUCUCAUGUCUUGGUAUAGCUAUUUUCUUUUUCCCCCUUUUUCAUUUUCUUUUCCUUAAUAGUAUGGAAUUCAAUGUGAGCACAUUCCCUUUCUGCUCUAUUGGCUUCUCUUUGCUGAUUUGUGCAAACUGUAAGUUUCUGCUCCGCACUGAUGGGCUAAAGAGACAGGCAAGCACAGAAACAGAAUACUGCCACUUAUGAACAGCACAAUCAUUUGAUUCCAGGUUCUUUUUACCCACAAAAAAAAAAAAAAGAUUUAAGGUUCAAGAGAAAGACCUCUUAUCUCCUUUGGUUCACUAUCAUUCUUGUACCACUCCUUUGUGGUAAGAGUUGAGCAAUGGUCACCUUUAAUAACCUAUUUGGUUCUUUUGUAGGAUCUAAAAGGUGCCUUAAUACUUGUCAAUUAGAGGUGAAGAUUCCUGCAUGCAAGUAUCCUUUAUGGUAGAAUGAUAGCCAUUAAAUUAACCGCUAAGGCAAGAUGGCAUUUACCUUCUUAUCAUGUUGUUACAUUGUGAUCUAUAGCAUCCUUUUGCCAAUUUUGAUUAUCAUAUAGCUGACAUCUAGGUGUCAUCAGGUGAGCUGACAAGAUCCUAAACAGUACAAAGAUAGGCAGAACUUUUGCCUUCACACUGUUGUCAUAAUGUUCCUGAGACUGCUUUCCAUAAUGGUUUCUGCUUAAUUCACUGCUUGUGGCCUUCUAUUCAUCCUGCAAAUUGAGGUUAGAAUUGGAUGCCCAUUAGACAUUCACUGAUUAACUUGUUCAUUACUCUAUGGAUCUUGUGCUCCCUUGUUGCUGAAAGUCAAAUAGUUUCUUUAUGUUUGCUUCUAUUGAGAACAGAGACACACAUUAUUUAUUUAAUUAUUGCAGCAAUCUUGGGUUGCUUUGAGCACAAUUCAUGUUCUCACAUCAAAACAUACUUGAAGUUGUCAUAAACCUCAAAUCUAUUUCUAGUGGAUGGUGGGAGAGUUUCUUGCAAGAUUCGUUGUCUUAGUACUAGAUCCUGUGCCAGCCUAUCCUAUUACAACAUCGGUAUACGGUACAGUACGAGAAGACAAAACAUACCAAGUGUCUAUACAGUACGAGACUGCAUACCGAUUUGAUAUCGGUAUGAUAUAGUAUGUCCCGUAUGGUGCGAUACUGACUGGUACGACAAACCUUGGUCUCUUUUGUUGGAGCCCUCAAAUGUACAAACUCUUUGAGCUAAAGAUUGCAACCUAUUCUUGUAUUCACUCAUUUGGGCUUUUCAUUUAGGAGAGCCACACUCUUGAUAACCAAAAUGGCUAAAAAUCUCUCAAGCCAAAACUAAUCAAAGAUUGACAAUACGUAAUCUGAAUGAUCAUUAGCAUUGAGCUUUUAAAACUACUAUAUUUCUGUUAUUGUGUCAUAGUCAUUGCCUCUAUCAUGUUUGCCGUCCAUUUCUUUAGCGCUUUAAACAUUAAUAUUGCAUUUUCUGCUUUCAUUCCCUACAAGCAUUAUUACAUCUGCCAAUGUUAUCAUUAUAUAUUAUUAUCUACUUCCCUAAUAUAAAAGGCAUAGAAUAUUAGGAGAAGAAAGAAUAUAGGAAAAGGAAGGACUAGAAAAGGUUGGCACAACACUAUUCCAUGUCAAAGAAAGUCUUAAGGGGAGAAAAAAGAUAAAAGGAGAUUGAAAAGGCAAAAAGAAUACAGAGAUAUAACAGGAAAUUAAUGGUUUAGCCGUUAACAGAAUGUCGACCAGCUAGCUGGUUGGCAAGCUCCUGUCAUGGGCGGAAGUCAUAUAGCAUUACAUUUCUAGCAAAACGGAUGGAGAAAAAAGUUAAAGAGAGUCAGUAUUAAAAAAAGAAAAAUGAUUUGAUAAAACUAUUUAUAAGAAAAGGACUAGAGCACCCAUGGUUUACUUUUGCAUUCCUACAGUUGCUCUGUAGUUGCGAUCAUGACAGAAGGCUAGGGUAAAUUAAAAAUAAAAGCCAACUAUUACCGUCCCACUGAAUACACGAGCAAAUCACUGAACAUACUCAAAGAGACUGUCUUUUCAAUUAUUUCUUGUGUAUUCCACUAUUCCCAGCUUAUGUUUUGUGUUGCUGCAUUUCACUUUACCAAAUAUUUCCAGUUCAUGUCCAUGUAUUGCUCUAUUACUUCCAAUCAGGCUAAACUUACAAACCAUGCUGCUUUUUAGAUAGAGUUGAGGGUCAAUUCAUGACAUAAAAUCGUUACACAUGCAAUACAAUUUUUCUGAUGCUGUAAUUUUUCAUACAUGUGCUUCUUUUAUUGCAUCAAUAUUAAGGACAAUGGACACCUAUGUAAUUUGAUGAAUUCCCAAAAAAAUGAAAGUUGAUUUCAAGUACUCAUUGAGCAGGACUGAUGCCGGGAACUAGAUCCAGAGUACAGAAUGACAAUAAUCCGUCAACAAAAUUUACCAGUUGCCAAGAAAUCUGAUCAUGCUGCCCUUUUGAUAAUGCAAGAAUUAAUGCUUGGUGGUUUUUCAUACUUUUGGCAAUCCCACAUAUAAGCUGGAUUUCCAUGAAGGAAAGUAGAAAGGAGAAACUCCAAAGGAGCGUGGCCAGAUAAUUCAUUAUUUUAUAAUUAAUGCAGCAUUAGCUCAAUGAUACACAAGACAAGACUCCUGCCAUACGUGCUUACCAAAACCACGCUGGAGUUGAAUCUCCAGUGUGUAGGUUUUUACUCUUGAAAAAGCAGAAUGUAUGGACAGUUGCUUCCCACAGGAAGAAUGUAUGGAAAUUAGAGGAGACUAGACAGUCCGGAGAGACUCGCUCACAAUGGAUAAGCGGGCGAUGAAAGUGAAAAUAGUUGAUAUCCAUCCCUGUCUGGAAAGGAUCGUAAGAAAUAAGACAACAUGACCUUAUAAGCCAA